GACGUAGGGGGCGAGCGUUGUCCGGAUUUAUUGGGCGUAAAGAGCGUGUAGGCGGCUAGAUAGGUCCGUUGUGAAAACUCGAGGCUCAACCUCGAGACGUCGAUGGAAACCAUCUGGCUAGAGUCCGGAAGAGGAGAGUGGAAUUCCUGGUGUAGCGGUGAAAUGCGCAGAUAUCAGGAAGAACACCCGUGGCGAAGGCGGCUCUCUGGUACGUGACUGACGCUGAGACGCGAAAGCGUGGGGAGCAAACAGG
rnacentral:rRNA from 1 species